UCUGAUUUAGUCCUCACAACAGUCUUUCAAGGCAAACACUAUUAUCCCAAUUACACAGAUCUAGGAACUGAGGCUCAGCAGGAUUAAGCGACUUGCUCAAGAUCACACAGCAAAUGCCAAUACAUGGCAGAGCCAGGACUGGAAGCUGGGUCCUGACACCUGGAGUUCAGGUUGGUCCCUCCCCUAGUGAGGGACAGGUGACAAGGUGAUGCUUCAGAGUGAAGACAGCUCUUCAGAAUGCUGUGAAGCCCUAGCAUUGGCUGAGCAUCCCCAGAGUCAGGAUGAGUCUCUCCUGCCCUGAACUUUCCACUAUGCAUGGUAGAAUGAUUGGUGACUGGAGGUCCCUGCCAAGGGACCUGGAGUGCCAGGAGGAGAGGGCAUUGGAAUGCCCCUCUGUGAAGCAGAGUCCCUGUGCUCAACAGACAUUUGCUAACUCUGAUGAAUCACACCUUUGAUCUCCAUGAUGAUCAUGGUUUGUUACAAUGGUAGACCCUUAGGAUUUAGAGAAGAGGCCCAGAGAAGUCAAGUGACUUGUCUAAGGACACAAAGCCUCUUUCACUGUGCUUAUGGACACACUGAGCGUCUCAGAACUCUAUUGCUCCCUGGACAAGACACAGAAAGGGAAGGGCUCAUUGGAGACCACCUGUGACCACUGUCUCUUGAGGAACCUGUCUCCUUUCCACUGGGAGAACUAGGAGUGGUUCUGCCUCUGACAUCUCUCCUUCCACACGGUGGUCUGAGCCUCCAAGCACAGCCAGCAAUAGUCCCUGGGGUCACACAGGAAGCCACCCCAGUUUUCUGCUGGAGCCCAAGAUUGGGCAGAAGUGAUCAUUUUUCUUAAAGAAACGAAACUUCCAGUGGCUUCCCCUUCUACAGAGUAUGGAGUUUGAACCCUUUGGAUGACCAUCAGGACUUCUGACAUUUGACCCCAGCCUCUCUGGUCCUGUGCCCACCGAAGGUCUCUACAUGAACCCUCCUCUCUGCUCCCAUAUCCAGGACCCUCUGCUCUCCCUAAGCUGACCCCAGAGUGGUUCAUCCUUGAGACCCAGGUUCUGAUUCUUCCGGAAGCCUCCUCUGAUUGUUCACAUUCCUCACUAUCGCACUUAAUCUUUCAGGGCCAGUUUCCACAUGUAACCCUGCCCCAAGCAGGCUCUGAGUUCUCAGAGCACCUGAAUUGCUGCUUGCACUUGAAUUUCUCCUCAGAGCUUUGCACCCCAGGGGCAGCAAGUGCCUUAGGAACGAAGUGACCCUGUUUGGUCCUCUCAGACCAUGACCACCUGGGAAUAGGGCUCUGUUGGUGUCACAGUUGGAACCUGGAGCAGGAGGGGAACUCAGGUCACCCUGCCCUCUCUGAGUCCUUGGGGGUGCUCCCUGACCCUCUCACCACUCUCCUCACAAAAAGCAGAGCUGUGAACCAGGCUGAGUGCAGGACACAAUGCCAGGGUUCCCACUGGCAUCUCAGCAAGUGGCAACUCCCUGCAAGCAGCAGCCCAGGCCAAAUCCCUCGGGGUCCUCUAGGACUUUGCUAGUUCUCUGAUUACGAUGGGCUCCAUUUUUGAAGUAUAUACAGAUCUCAAGCCCUACAUAGACUUGUAUUCCUCGAUACUCAGGAGGCUGAGGCAGGAGGAUCAUUUAAGUUCAGGAGUUUGAGGCCAGGCAGGGCAGCAU